GUGAGGAAUUUUCCGCAAUGGGCGAAAGCCUGACGGAGCAAUGCCGCGUGAAGGAUGAAGGCCUAUGGGUUGUAAACUUCUUUUCUCAGAAAAGAAUUAUGACGGUAUCUGAGGAAUAAGCAUCGGCUAACUCUGUGCCAGCAGCCGCGGUAAGACAGAGGAUGCAAGCGUUAUCCGGAAUGAUUGGGCGUAAAGCGUCUGUAGGUUGUUUAAAAAGUAUUCUGUAAAAGAUUAGGGCUUAACCCUAGAUAGGCAGAAUAAACUUUUAAGCUAGAGUUUGGUAGAGGCAGAGGGAAUUCCCGGUGGAGCGGUGAAAUGCGUAGAUAUCGGGAGGAACACCAAAGGCGAAGGCACUCUGCUGGGCCAAUACUAACACUGAGAGACGAAAGCGAGGGGAGCAAAUGGGAUUAGAUACCCGGGUAGUCC
rnacentral:rRNA from 1 species